CUUCGUACAGGGCCAGGAAGUCGAUGUCCUUCUUCCUCCGCCUUUUCUUCUGGGGCAUCAUUCUGUCGGCUGCCUUCUCCCAGCGCUCGCAGGCUCACUGUGCCGCCUCCUCACACCUGCGGGAACCUGAGACCUCCUCCCUGAGCUCUGGCGCCCACGGCCCUCCUAUAGCUCAGGCCUGGGUGGGCCAGAGUGCCCCGUUUUCUUGGCUUCCCCGUGCCCAAGGUGCUGUUCCCUCUGCCUUCUCUGGCUCCUGAGCUGAACCUCAGUGCCUUAUCUCUGAACCUCCUGUCCCUGUCCCCUCCCACCACCCUCUGGUGAGCCACCUCCUCCUCCUCUGUACCUGCCCCGGGGCUUCUCUUUGGGCCUCAUCACUUAUUCAUGGCGCUGAGGGCAGGCUGACUUCCUUCCUCUCUCCCCUCCCCACCAGCCCUCUCUCCUCCCUAUGGAGAAUCAGGUGACACGGAGCCCUUGAAGUCCAUUUCCCACCUGGCCUCACAGCCAGGGGGUCACCUGGGAUCCCUCCAGGCCACCCCAGGGACAGGUGAGGGCUCCUCACCCAGGAGAUCUCCCAAGCCUUACAGCCCACACGGGACCCUCCUGAGGAAGGCGGGGCCCCGGAAUCAGCCAGGCUCCCAGGACUCAAAGGCCCCCGUUUCUCUCCAUUAUUCAUGACCUCUGAUCGUCUUACGGAGCAGGCGGGGUUCUCGCUGGAUCCUUCUCGUUCUCUCUCUCUGCUUCCAUCUCAUCAAGACUGCGGGCUUCCGGAAGUGGCCUCUGGGCACGAGGAAAGCUAGGGCACCAGAAAACUCUCCCCGCUCCCCCUGCCAGAGUACAUUCUCUUGCUGCUGGAUGGCGUUGGUCAUAUUCCUCUCCAGCUCAAAAACAUUUGCUUACGCCCCACGGCAAUUGAAUUUUCUCAGCCAGAGUUCUGGAUUAAAAGCAACAGAAACCAACAAUGGCUAGUUUAAGUAGAAAAAUUAUUUUUUUAAGCUGAUGGAAGGUGGAUCUCAGAAUGUCCCAGAGAUCUACACUCUGGAAAUGAUGCCUAGAAUCAUGCUGGUCCAGAGAGGACCCGACUUCCACCAAUGCUGGGCCUGGAUGUACAGCGUGCACCACAAGCUUCAGCACUGGCUGUUGCUGCUAGAGCCACAGCAGCUGCCUGUUUGUGCCGCCCUCACCAGAAUGGACUCUGCUGCCUUCUGCCAUUCAGUCUGGGGCCGGAGCAUCUGAUUGGCUGAGCCUAAGUCAUGUGCCCACAGCCUUGCUGGAAAGGAGGCUGGGAAAGAGAGUAUUUGGCCUUUCCAACUGCUAUGCUGGGAACUGUGCUCUUCUCAAACUUUAGAAGGGGAUUCAGAUGCUGGAUUACCAAGAUAACAAAUGUCUAUGAAACUAAUAGAAUUCUAGCUCCUCAAGCUGAUAGCAGAGACCCUCUAUAAUCUGACCAACCUUCUCCUUAUGAAACCCACACUGUGGAUAAACAGAAGAAACCCCUGUUUUCUAAACGGGCCUGGUGCUUUCCUUCUGCAGGCUUUAGUUCACGCUGACGUUAGAGCUGUUGUGUGCAUUCCUGUGUCAGCCAGCUAUUGCCACACGACAAGCAAGCAUACAAAUCUCAGUGGCAUGGUGUUACCUCUCACAUGUCUGGGGCUGGGUUGGGAUGACAUAUAUAUGCUGGGCUCAGCUGGCAGGUCUGCCUCAAUCUAUAGGACCAGCUGAACAUGGCCAGGGCAACUCUUUUCUACGUGAGUUUGAAACCAUCCCUAUAAACUUUAUAAAAUUAAUCAGCAAAGAAGGGAGGGGGAGAAAUGAAAAUAAACCAAGCUUGCAGCACACUCAGCAUUCAUCAGCAAGUCAGCUUGCUCUCUGACCCACCCCUCGUGGUUCCUUACCUGUUGCCUCAGAAUAACGUAGAUCCUGUUACAAGAUCAUCGUUCCCUUUAACUGCCCUAUAGACAACAAUCUGAACAUUAUAAAACAUGAAGAUUUCUCUUUUACAAGAGCAUAGUUCCCCUUAACUGCCCUAUUGCCAACAAUCUGAACAUUAUAAAACGUGAAGAUUUCCCUUUGAGAUACUCCUUUCAGGUCCUGCAUACCAGUGAAACUACUGAUGUCAGCUGAUCUGAAGGACCCCAGGAGAAGCUGACUUACCAAGGAAUCACCCUCCAUGGUCCCCUUAAAAGCCCCAGCUCAGAACUCCUCCGGGGGAUGGAUUUGAGGGUCUCCUCCCAACUCCUUGCUUGGUGCCCUAUGAUCAAAAACUCUUUCUCUGCUGCAAAUCCUGCUGCCUUGGUGUAAUUGGUUUGUGACUGCACAGUAGGCAUAUGAACCUAUUGGUCCUAUAACAGGUUCAAUCUGGGGCCGGCC
rnacentral:lncRNA from 1 species